rnacentral:rRNA from 1 species
AAAUAUGACUCUCGGCAGCGGAUAUCUCGGCUCUCGCAUCGAUGAAGGACGUAGCGAAAUGCGAUACUUGGUGUGAAUUGCAGAAUCCAGUGAACCAUCGAGUCUUCGAACGCAAGUUGCGCCCGAGGCCUCUAGGCCGAGGGCACGCCUGCCUGGGCGUCUUC